UACGUAGGUGACCAGCGUUGUCCGGAUUUACUGGGCGUAAAGAGCGCGCAGGCGGUCGUUCAAGUCGAGUGUGAAAGCCCCCGGCUCAACUGGGGAGGGUCAUUCGAUACUGAUCGACUGGAAGGCAGGAGAGGGAAGCGGAAUUCCCGGUGUAGUGGUGAAAUGCGUAGAUAUUGGGAGGAACACCAGUGGCGAAGGCGGCUCACUGGACCGGAACUGACGCUGAGGCGCGAAAGCGUGGGGAGCAAACGGG
rnacentral:rRNA from 1 species